rnacentral:sRNA from 1 species
GUCGGGAGAGACCUCCCUGGGCCUGGCCCCACUGCCCUGUGAGGAAGGGUUCGUGUGGUUGGCGUACAGUUCCGGGGCCCCUGGAACGCAGCAGCCUGCAAGAAACCGGGUUUUCUUCCCAAUAGGGAUGGCCCCGGGGGGUGUCUGUUGGAGACCAGAUGGAUGGGGAACAGGUGGUCAGGGCGGAAUUUCAGGCCCUGGCAGCAUGGGAGCAGGGCAGAGACUGGGGAGUUCAGGUACCCAGAGAUGCUGCUGGGGGAGCCGUUUUGGGAAGGAGGUGGCUCUCAGGAGGGUGCUGCACCCCAGCCCAGUCUGCAUGGGCGUCUCUUGCCUGUGCCAGAAGAACGAGGAUGAGUGUGCCGUGUGUCGGGAUGGCGGGGAGCUCAUCUGCUGUGACGGCUGCCCUCGGGCCUUCCACCUGGCCUGCCUGUCCCCUCCGCUCCGGGAGAUCCCCAGUGGGACCUGGAGGUGCUCCAGCUGCCUGCAGGCAACAGUCCAGGAGGUGCAGCCCCGGGCAGAGGAGCCCCAGCCCCAGGAGCCACCCGUGGAGACCCCGCUCCCCCCGGGGCUUAGGUCGGCGGGAGAGGAGCCCCGCUGCCAGGGCUGGACUCCUCGGCCCUGCACCCCCUACUGUGUGUGGGUCCUGAGGGUCAGCAGAACCUGGCUCCCGGUGCGCGUUGCGGGGUGUGCGGAGACGGCACGGACGUGCUGCGGUGUACUCACUGCGCCGCCGCCUUCCACUGGCGCUGCCACUUCCCAGCCGGCACCUCCCGGCCCGGGACGGGCCUGCGCUGCAGAUCCUGCUCAGGAGACGUGACCCCGGCCCCUGUGGAGGGGGUGCUGGCCCCCAGCCCCGCCCGCCUGGCCCCUGGGCCUGCCAAGGAUGACACUGCCAGUCACGAGCCCACUCUGCACAGGGAUGACCUGGAGUCCCUUCUGAGCGAGCACACCUUCGACGGCAUCCUGCAGUGGGCCAUCCAGAGCAUGGCCCGUCCGGUGGCCCCCUUCCCCUCCUGACCCCAGAUGGCCGGGACAUGCAGCUCUGAUGGGAGAGUGCCGAGAAGGACACCUCCUUCCUCAGCCCUGGAAGCCGGCCGGCUGGGAUCAAGAAGGGGACAGCGCCACCUCUUGUCAGUGCUCGGCUGUAAACAGCUCUGUGUUUCUGGGGACACCAGCCAUCAUGUGCCUGGAAAUUAAACCCUGCCCCACUUCUCUACUCUGGAAGUCCCCGGGAGCCUCUCCUUGCCUGGUGACCUACUAAAAAUAUAAAAAUUAGCCG